rnacentral:lncRNA from 1 species
UAGCUAUUUGUCCGGAUGUAAUUCGUGAGAGCGAGAGGUAUGAAUAAAGGAGGAGAUGCAAAUGCUGGUUCUAAACGGCGGCAUUGAGUCCCAAUGUGGGACUCCUCACGGCUCCACAGGUCAUGCAAGACAAAGAAAAGCAAAGAGAAAAUAGGUUAAAGAGGAACAUCUGCCUCUUAACGAACACAUAAAAUAUAGGAGAAAGACAACAAAUAAAUCAUACUAACUUGUAUGAGAGCUAAUAUCUUUACAUGCCGUAGUAAUCGAAACAUAGGAGAAAGCUCUAACUUUGCUAGGAGAAAUUAGUUCUUAAUUAAUGUGACUUGAACUAACUAAAUAAAUUAAAAGGGACACAUCCUACACUAUUUUAAGUCAUUUUAUGUCGAUCAAAGAUGACAAUACCUAAAUCAAGUCUCAAAAGCACAAUCAUUAGGUUCUCAAAAUAAACGAGUAUUCCCAAUUAGUUAAAGAUUAUCUCAAACACGCAUUUUUUUAAAAAGAAAACUAGGGGUCGGCGUGAUAUCUAAGCCCUUAAAUAAAGAAAAAAAACCUAACAUCAUGUUUUCAUAUCUUUUUUAGCGGUGAAAGAAGUCAUAUUA